UUAUUUCCUGGCUUGAUCAUGUGCAAGUCUUAUGUACAAAGUGACAGAUAUGGAUCAAAUUUAACUCUUCUACAAGCAGACCACCAUCAUUUGUUGAAGAAGCCACAAAGGAAUAUAAAGACCAUGUGAUCUCCAGAGAUGCUUCACAACAGGAAAGAUACUAAGAAAGAGCAGACUGCCCAGAGAUAAGAAGCAAAAACAACCAAACAACAUCAACAAAGCAGAUCAAAAGCUUCCAUACAAAGCCCGGACAAGGCAACCCAAUGGGAGGAAAUAAUACCAGGAGCAGGCAAAGGGUUUUCAUGUUACUUAGAGUCCUAGCUAGAACAUUAGGAGAAGUGAAGGAGAGAAUAAGGAUUCAGAUUUCAUUUAGCAACAUCAUGGAACCAGAGGACACAAUGUUGAGCCUGUAUUGGCUUACAUGGUGAUGAGCAUAUGACUAAGUUGUAAAAAGAAAAAGGGCUUUUCCAUUUAGUGAAGACAGGAAAAAAAAUCAAAGAUGAAAUCAUAACACACAGUA
rnacentral:lncRNA from 1 species